CUUCCAGAGAAAUAGUCUGAUCCUAGGAUGGACAAAUACUUUCUAGAUCUAGAUAGCCUCGAUCCUCCCAUGCGGCACUGGUCUACUCAUCUCGGUGAAGUCCCUCAUAGAAACUUUAUGGCAACACAAUCGGUCUCAAGCCCUCAAAUCUUGGCUCCGAUGGAUAGAAAUCAGGAUAGCAAAAAUCCUAUCAAUGAGCUGACCAUCAAAGAGAUGAGUGACAUCAUAUGCCCUUCAACUCCUCCCAUUGGUGGUGAUUAAGUCAUACACGUGC
rnacentral:lncRNA from 1 species